UCUGGCAUGCAGUGAAUACACUGAAUCAUAUCUAGAAAAGUUGGAGCUGCUUGAUGUCUCUGUAGUUGUAUUACCCAAUAACUAUGAAGCAGGAGCUGCACAGUAACUCAGAGGAUGGGACAGCAAGUUCAUUUAGCCAGAGAUUAGAACAAUCAUUCAAACACUCGGUAAAUAACUAAGAUCAGGAAUAACAGUUUAAACUCUGGACAACCAAGCCAAUCUUCCAUGAUACGUGUUGAGAUAACCAGCUUCCAUUCAUCUUGAGAUUAGAUUGGAAGGUCUUUGAGGCAAUUUCAGUUGUGAUCCACCACACUGCAGAUCCGAGACAUGGGUCUUAGGGAGGAUCUUCCACAGGAGUCAUUUAAUAAAGAAGAUGCAAUGAAACUUGUCUUAUGUGAUAAGCUCAAAGAACUGACAACAACUGGUUGCUUAAGGAAGAGGGCUGGAUUACAGGCACUCAAACUUCACUAGCGUGGACCUCAACAACUCUCUUGAAGCUAGAACGAAGUUCAAGGAACACUGAAGAACAGAGGAAGGCAGAGAAAAUAUUGUCUUCCUAUGACAUUUUUACAAAACUAUGAAAACAUUUGUACAAAGUAUCCCUUUGUGAGGUAUCAUUUGAAAACUCAUAAUUCACUGACCAUUAUUGUCCUUGUAAAGUAUGCAUGGCAACACUGUAUGUAAAGUUACAAGAUUCUACCGUAUGAUGUUACAGUAGCCCAAAUCAGUUCCUCAGAGACAAAAUGCUAGUCAGCACCUCAGCCAGGUUUCAGCAUAAUCAAAUGGACUAUCACCUGAUUAAGGGGACAUGUUUGGAAGAAAGGCAUAAGUGAGAAAUUUACAUAUUGGCAAAUAAACAGCUGGGGUUCCCGUUCAAAACAGACUUGCUGCCACCUGAACUCUAGCUGGAGUGGAUACUCCAAAAAGAGAAAGGCUAUAAGAGGGGGAACAGAGGACAGAAAUCACCUCUCUCCGCUCAUUUUUACUCACUGCAUCAACAUUUGAAAGAUAA